rnacentral:rRNA from 1 species
AGCUGAUCAUUGGGUGUAAAGGGUGCGCAGGCGGUUUUGUAAGACAGUGGUGAAAUCCCCGGGCUCAACCUGGGAACUGCCAUUGUGACUGCAAGGCUAGAGUGCGGCAGAGGGGGAUGGAAUUCCGCGUGUAGCAGUGAAAUGCGUAGAUAUGCGGAGGAACACCGAUGGCGAAGGCAAUCCCCUGGGCCUGCACUGACGCUCAUGCACGAAAGCGUGGGGAGCAAACA